rnacentral:rRNA from 1 species
GACGAACGCUGGCGGCGUGCUUAACACAUGCAAGUCGAACGGAGAGGCCCUUCGGUUUGGCUCAGUGGCGAAGGGGCGAGUAACACGGUAGCAACCUGCUCCUGUCCCUGUGACAACCACAGGAAACGGUGGCUAAUGCCGGAUACGCCCCGACUCGGCUUCGCCGGUGGGUGGAAUGGUGUUCGGCGGGAGUUGGUCUCGCGGUCUAUGAGCUCGCUGGUCAUGUGAGGGUUCACCAAGGCAACGACGGAUAGCCCGCCUGAGAGGGCGAACAGGCACAAGGGGACUGAGACACGGACCAGUAUCCUACGGGAGGCAGCAGUGGAGAAUAUGACGGAGUGGGCGAGAGCCUGAGGCGGCGGCGCCGCGUGAGGGAUGACGGCCUUCGGGUUGUAAACCUCUUUCUACGCCGAAGAAGCGAAAGUGACGGUAGGUGCAGAAGAAGCACCGGCUAACUACGUG